UCUUGGAGGCGAUACUUAUAAACGACUACUCGGCAAGUUGGGUGUUCUUGAGAUUUCAAUCCCACCUCCAACUUGAGGGGGGGUGUUAAGGAUAAACACAUAUUAUUCACAUUAAAGAAGAUCAAACCCAAGCAAACAUGUGCUGGCAAUGCAUAUCCAUAUAGCUGUCAAAGUAUAUCAGGAAAUUGUAUCAUAAUUGUAUUUUAAAAUAGGAUCUCUAUUAUAG
rnacentral:lncRNA from 1 species